CGCCUCUCCAGGCUCAGCUCCCAUCAUCUCGUAGCAGAGCCCUGUGUCCGGGCCCGGUCAGGGGGGCAGCUGUCCUGGCCAUGGGCGUCUGGACCCUGGUGGAGAGAAGCGGCUACCUCAGCAUCCUGGCCUCCAGCACCUUCGCCGCCUCCGCCUACAUCCUCAUCCGGGCGGGUACUCUCGUCAUGGUCACCAGCUUCCUGGGCUACAGCACCAUCUCCCAGGAGCAGAAGGGCUGCCUCUCCAUGGCCGGGCAGCUGUACCUCUGAGCCACCUCCAGCCCAUGGUUCAUUGCCAGAAGAUAAUUCGCCCAGAGGUCAUUGCCGCUUAAACAGCUGGCUUCAUCUUUUCCUGUUUGGCCAGUUGUUCCGGGCUCCCUGGCUCUCCCUCCACCUGCUUCUAUGAUCCUCUCACACACAGCCGGCUGGGAGCCUCAGACUGGGCUCUUCUCCCUCCAGCUUAACUGGGCGACAUCUUGGUCCUCCUGUUGUGCUGAUGCCAGGCUGUUCUGGGAAUAGGCUAGUCCCUCCACCUCGUCGCGACCUGCCUGGACACUGAGCCUCUACCAUCAGGCUAUCAAUUGCAGGAAACUUUGCAAGCCCUGUCUCUGUCUAAUCAUACAGGAUGGCUGGAAGCUCCCUUUGUGGAAGAAUCAGUCCAAUGGAGAAAUUCUGAAAUUCCAGUUUUACAAAGUUCUUCAAACUUACCUCAAGGAUGGCACCAGCUGAAGCUCAGUUGCCCUGUCUCUUAUGCACCAGUGCAUCUGCCCCAGAAACUCUUAUCUGGGGCUCAGUUUGCCCCCAUGUGGUAUAAGUCCCUCCAAAUAUUUCCACUUCUAGUUAGUCAUCUUAAUGUCACAAUGAGAAAUAUUUCUGCAUAUUUCCUGCAAAGCGUCUCAUUAAA
rnacentral:lncRNA from 1 species